AACGAACGCUGGCGGCAUGCCUAACACAUGCAAGUCGAACGAGACCUUCGGGUCUAGUGGCGCACGGGUGCGUAACGCGUGGGAACCUGCCCUUAGGUUCGGAAUAACUCCCCGAAAGGGGUGCUAAUACCGGAUAAUGUCUUCGGACCAAAGAUUUAUCGCCUUUGGAUGGGCCCGCGUUGGAUUAGCUAGUUGAUAGGGUAAAAGCCUACCAAGGCGACGAUCCAUAGCUGGUCUGAGAGGAUGAUCAGCCACACUGGGACUGAGACACGGCCCAGACUCCUACGGGAGGCAGCAGUGGGGAAUAUUGGACAAUGGGCGAAAGCCUGAUCCAGCAAUGCCGCGUGAGUGAUGAAGGCCUUAGGGUUGUAAAGCUCUUUUACCCGGGAUGAUAAUGACAGUACCGGGAGAAUAAGCUCCGGCUAACUCCGUG
rnacentral:rRNA from 1 species